CUGUCCUGGAAGGGGAGGGAGGGAAGGGAGACAGACGGGCAGGACAGAGAGCUCAGGAGCCCUGGGCUGUAAGCCUUACUUGAAGGAGAAGAGCUGUUGGGCAGGCUGUAAAGAUUGAGCGUGAGUUUCUUCCUCUGUGACAUCGGGGUGGCCUUCCUGCCUAUUUUCCUGGUGGCGUGGGUGUGAGGAUCGUGUGAGCCGACGGACAGGACAGGGUUCUGACAAUGCAAGGCAUGCACAGGUCUCCAUCCACUGGAUCCCAGGGGCAACUAGCCAAUCCGCAUAGCCGAGGGUUUGCCCUUUGAACUACCCAAACUUUCAAAUCCCAUCGAGUCUUCGGAUGGAAAUAUUUUUAAAACUAUGACCUGUUUCCAGCUUCAUGAAAUGGAGCAUCCUUGAAGCUAUGGUUCCUCACUGCUGUCAGUUACAGUUCUUCUCCCGUAAAACUUCCUUCUCCUAAUCGGCUGCGGAUUUGGGAAGCAACCCCUCCACUCUGUCAGAGCUGCGUGGAGAGUAAGCGUGACAGGCUCCUGAGCCAGCGGUCUCGUGAGUCAAGGGCAGGAGGUUCAGAGGAGGCAGCUGCUUCCUCGCUCCUGGUCUUGGCCGUGAACGCAGGUGAUGUGCGGCCGGGGCACGUGGUCUUAACUCAAGGUCACGCCUUCCUCAAGGGCUCUUGCAGUCAUACCCUCCACUCCGUUGCUCCACCCCAGCCUCCCCUUGCCCUCCGUCACCUGGCGUUCUGCAGCAGCCCCCUGGCUGGACAUCUCACCCACUGAUGGACCCUCCCAGUCCGUCCUCGCAAUACACUGUCAGCCAUUUUCCAGAAGACAGAUCUGAUCACCUUCCUUCGAUGCUUGAAACCCUUUGCUGUCUCUGCAGAGCCUCAGAAUCAAGCCCACUCUCUGGCUCAGUACACUGCUCCCCAAGGUCCCCCUGUGGGGACCCCUCUAGCCUCUCCUUCCAGCAACCCUGCUCCCAUGCCCUUCGCUGUGGCUACAAGGAACCAACAUGGGAUGCUGCAUUCUCUGGCUUCACGCUUAUUCAAGUGGCUCCUCCACCACUACCUCAUGGGCUGUGGGGAUGGUUUAAGUCAGAGAUUCUGGAGCCUAACCACCUGGGCGCAGAUCCCAGCCCUGCCCCUUCAUCGCCGUGUGACCUUGGGCAAGUCACCUGACGCGGUUCCCCCACAUGAAAAAUGCGACUGAAAGAGGUGGCCAGCUCGUUCACACCACCACGUGUCAAGCGCCUCGUGCCACGCCUGCUGCAUCGCAGGCCCGGUCUUCAUGCGUGUGUUCUUCCUCCCUGGCGUCUGGUGCUGGACCAGGCACACAGCAGCUGCUCCAUAACAGCCAAAUGCAUGAAUGGAAGUCAAGUGCAGUGUUAGCUGGGAGGGUCCUUCCGCAGCACGAGUGAACGCCCGGCACUGUGUGAGCGAGUGUUCCUGGCAUGCCAGUCUUCUCCCUUGAGCCAGAUGAAUUUCCUGGAGAACUGUCAUAUCCCGCCAUCCCCUCCCACCAUGGCAGGCGCCUCCAAACUUGGGUGUGUUACCCAGAGACCUGGGUUAGGGCCUGGAACACCAGCUGUGGCCCCACCUGCCAGCCAGCCAGCUCCACACUUUCUCCAACCUGCUGGUCCCCAGCCCAGGCAACCUCUUGACAGCCCUGUCCUCAGGGCAAGCAAAGCAGGGAAAUACUGGCCACAAAGUGGGGGUGAAGAUAAAUUCAGAUCCGGUGCACACGGGGGAGCUAGAUGGUCCAAGCUUUUAGACAGACACCUGAGUUGGAAUGCCACCACCCUGUGUGACCUUGGGUGGUUUCUUUCAUCCCUGAGCCUCAGCUUCCUCAUCUGUUAAGUGGGAAUAAUUCCUUUCUCAAGGGUUAUCAUGAGGACGAGAUUAGACAAUACAGGUAAAAGUGCUGACAAUUGGGCCUGGCGCAUAAUAAAUGCUCACUAAAUGGUAGCUAUUAUCCCUCAGACUUCCCUUGAUGAAGGAGCCUUAGAAUUUCAGAGUGGAAGAGAAUCUAGUCCAACUUAUUCAGUUCACUUACAAGGAAACUGAGGCUCAGCCAGGUGACAGGAUUUGUCUAAGGUCACAGGGCCAGGAAGGGAGAGGACUCAGGAUAAAGGGGAGCUUCAGAUUCAUUGUGACACCAGGACGCCAUAGUCAGGGCCCGGGGGUCACCCACAGGCUAAGGGUCAAGGUGUUUUCCAUUUAACUCCAGGAAAUGUCCUUGGUUCAAACCUUAAAACUGAGUCCCUGCCCCACCUUCGUCCCGGUUACCUCUCAACCACACCGCCAGGCUGGUGGCACCAUCAUCCCCAUCUUCCAGAGGAGAGGACGGAGCCGCAGAGGGCGCAGGAGACGGGCCACACAGCGCCUCCCUGCCGGGGUCGCGUGAAGGUCAUGCGAGGCGAGCAGGUGGGAGGUCCCGGGCGGGCCUGCAGAGGAUGUACUUGGAGACAGCACCCUCCUGUCCCUCCUGAAGGAGCUGGUCCUCAGGUUUCCGAGCAGCAAGGAGCAUCCCGGUUCACGCCCCCAGAGCCUCUGCGAGUUAGCAGGUUGGAGCACAAUCUCCUCAGAAGAUCACGGGAGAGACGCCGGCAAUUCGAGCCAGCAGAGCAGCUGCCUGGAGGCCGACGGGGAGCUGCUGAGCACGCGGAUGCGAGGACACAGACGGCGGGCAUUAGAGGCCUCUGAGGAUGCCUUUGAUCUCCUGGAGCACGUGGCCGGGCCCAGCCAGAAGGAGGAAAACCCACUGGCCUCCAUCCAGGGCACCUGGGCUCAAAUUCCAGCCCCGGAGCUCAUUCUGAGAUCUAACAUUGAGUCGCCCGUGAGCUCAGAAGCUCCGUUCCCAGAUUUUAAAAACGGGAAUCACAACUCCUACCUGAGCCUGUGGGGAGGGCAAAUGGGAUGGUCCAUGGAAUGCACCCAGCACGGUGCCCCCCCAUCGUGGGUGCUCGGUACACGUCAGUGCCCUUCUUGUCCUUCCAUCCUCACCUGUAUUUACCCAUCGAGCAUUUAUUGAGCACUUACUAUGUACCAAGUGCUAUUCCAAGGCCCGGUGAGCUGGCGGCUAACAUGGCAGUGACCUGCUCUCAUGCAGUUUACGUUUUACUGGAGAAAGUCAGAAAGAAAGAAGCAAGUAAUAAACAAGAAAAUGUUAGCCGUCAGUGAGUGCUUUAAAGAACAUUCAACUCUAUCGUGAUCAGGACUGGAGGCAACAUUACAUAGGAGACUUGGGGCCUUUCUGAAGAGAAGAUAAUGAGUAGAGGUCUGAACAAAGAUCUGGAGGGAAGAACAUUCCAGGUGGAGGGAACAGCAAGUGCAAAGGUCCUGAGGUAGGCACAAGCUUGGUGUCCUGGAAAGGAGCCCAGUGUGGCUGGGUGUAGGGAGUAAUGGGGGGUCACUGGAGAUGGGGUGGUAGAUAUGGGCAGGGCCCCAUCAGGCAGGGCCUUGUGGGCCCUGGUGAGACACUAAUUUGUAUUACCUUCUCCAGCUCUUGGUGACUUUCCUGUUUUCCAGGGUCUCUUGUUAGUCUGUAAAGUCAGUUCACUAGGCGGGGCCUUUAACCCCAGCAAUGAACUUCUGCCCUGGGUUCUGACCUUAAAAUGCCUGAACAGGAAGGAAGGGUCCUUGGAGAUGCUCUGUGAGUCCAAGACUGUCAUUCAAAUGGAUCAACUGAGGCCCAGAGACUUGCCCAGGAAUGUGACUUGCCCAAGGUCCUACCACAAGUUAGAGACUCCACCAACCAGGAUGAUGUACCUCUGCAAGUGACACAAAAGCCCGACAUCAGUGGCUUAAACAAGUUUGUUUCUCUCUCCAAAAACAAAGAGAGGUCAGCAUCCCAGGCUGGUACAGCAGCUCCACAAUCCGCAGGGACCCAGGCUGCUCCUCAUUUACUCUGCCAUCCUCAGCAUGUGACUUCCACCUCAUGACCCAGGGUGGCUGCCCCAGCUGCAGCCAUCAUGUCUGCAUUCCAGAGCAGAAAAGCAGAAGGCUCGAAAAAGAACACGUCCUUCCCAAAAAGGACACGCCCCAGUGGUUGCAGUUAUAUUGCGUUGGCCAGAACUUAGUCAUGUGACUGCAUCUAACUGCAAAGGAGGCUGGGAAAUGUAGUCUUUACUCAGGACAGCCAUGCGCUCAGCUCAAAAUUAGGGGUGCCAUUCAUCGGGAAGAAGAGGAGAACAGAUAAGGAGGGACAGCUGGCCCUCUCUGCCACAAGGACAAAGUCAAGACUGGAACCCACAUGUCCUGACUCCCCUAGUGCUCUCUGCACUGCCCUCUCCCCCUGUCGUCCCCCUCACAAUGAGCAAAUAGCAGCCAAAUGCAGGGGAACCCCUGGGAGAAGGGCCUGGAGGAUGUAGAAGGAGGAGGGGCACACCAAGGGGGAGGAGCCGUGACGGAG
rnacentral:lncRNA from 1 species